GCCAAAGUACCUCAGUCAGGCGAGCGUUAGACUGAAGAUCUAGAGGUACUUGGUUCAAUCCCAGGGUUUGGCC
rfam:Chelonia mydas contig263918, whole genome shotgun sequence.